rnacentral:rRNA from 1 species
CGGAACUCUUCGGAGGGAAGUGAAGGGAAUGAGCGGCGGACGGGUGAGUAACACGUAAGGAACCUGCCCCAAGGAUUGGGAUAACUCCGAGAAAUCGGAGCUAAUACCGAAUAGUUCUUCAGACCGCAUGGUCUGAUGAUGAAAGGCGCUCCGGCGUCACCUUGGGAUGGCCUUGCGGUGCAUUAGCUAGUUGGUGGGGUAAUGGCCCACCAAGGCGACGAUGCAUAGCCGACCUGAGAGGGUGAUCGGCCACACUGGGACUGAGACACGGCCCAGACUCCUACGGGAGGCAGCAGUAGGGAAUCUUCCACAAUGGACGAAAGUCUGAUGGAGCAACGCCGCGUGAGUGAUGAAGGUUUUCGGAUCGUAAAACUCUGUUGUAAGGGAAGAACAAGUACGAGAGGGAAUGCUCGUACCUUGACGGUACCUUGCGAGAAAGCCACGGCUAACUACGUGCCAGCAGCCCGCGGUAAUACGUAGGUGGCAAGCGUUGUCCGGAAUUAUUGGGCCGUAAAGCGCGCGCAGGCGGCCUUUUAAGUCUGAUGUGAAAGCCCCCGGCUCAACCCGGGGAGGGUCAUUGGAAACUGGAAGGCUUGAGUACAGAAGAGAAGAGUGGAAUUCCAUGUGUAGCGGUGAAAUGCGUAGAGAUGUGGAGGAACACCAGUGGCGAAGGCGACUCUUUGGUCUG